UGUGGCAUGUGCUAUCGCUUAAAUAUCAAAUUACUCGUGCAAUCUCUUACAAAAGUCAAGUUUUCUGUCCAUUGCAAAGUAAAUGUUAUUUUUUCCAAAAAUGUGUUCUUCUGAUAGUGAUAUACCAGCUACGCCAAAAAAAAAGUUAAUGCAAAAAUACAAACCCGAGUGGGAAAAACAGUACGAAUGGGGGAAUGUUCGAGUCUCAAUCACUGCGUCAAUAUUGCAAAGCAUCAUAUUCGACGCAAAAAUGUAGCAACUUUUGCAAAUGUCAAACGUUCGAGCAACUCAAAUUUUGACAUUUCUUGCCCGCAAAAGUGACAAAAUCGGCAUCAACAAAAUUUAUGAUGGAAAAAUGAGGCAAGGGAAAUCGCGGGGAAACUUUAGUAUACCAUCCCACGAUUUCAGGAUUAAAAGUGGUACGGUUAGAUAGUGCUGAUGCUCCAGAUUAAGAAUAUAUAUAAUUAUUGCCGCCGCAAACUUAAAGUUUUCGAGAUAUUUGCAUUUAAAGUUGAAAAUUUUGCAAUAAGUAUUGCCAUAUCACAAAUGAUAGAAAACAAUAAAAAUAAAUAAAAAAAAUUCAAAUGCAUGAAAAAAAUUAUCCUGGGCGACCAACACCUGGGUGUGUCAGGUUUUUACGAUUGAAAUUCCUUUUUGCGUUGGCGGCCUUCGGCCGCGGUUCAAAAAAAUAACCCUGGCCGAUCCAACACCGGGGUGUGGCAACACCUGGGUGUGUCAGGUUUUUUCGAGUAAAACUUUUGCGUUGCGUUUGCACAAAAAUAACCCUGGCCGAUCCAACACCGGGGUGUGCCAACAACAGGGUGUGUCAGAUUUCUCUUCGAGUAAAACUCCUUUUUGCGUUGGCGGCCUUCGGCCGCGCUUCAAAAAAAUAACCCUGGCCGAUCCAACACCGGGGUGUGCCAACACCUGGGUGUGUCAGGUUUUUUUCGAGUAAAACAUCCUUUUGCGUUGGCGGCCUUCGGCCGCGCUUCACAAAAAUAACCCUGGCCGAUCCAACACCGGGGUGUGCCAACAACAGGGUGUGUCAGGUUUUUUUUCGAGUAAAACUCCUAUUUUGAUUAUUACUCAUGAUAUAGCAAGAAAAAGGAUAAUGAUUUAUGUGUUUGGCGUAUAAACCUAUUUAUUAUUCGUUUGAUAAAUGUGUAGAUAUGGCAAUACUUAUUAUUUGACAACACGGAACACUUAUUGUUAUUGUGCGUGUAAUAAUAUUUAUGUAAAAUAUAAAAUGCUUAUUUUAAGCAAACAUCUAAAAUAUUAAUAAAAAAUAAAUAUGUAGAAAUAUUGUAGUGAAUUGUAAGUGUAUAAAAAGUGCAUAAUACGGAAGAAAAACUAACCAUAAGUCGAGAAAUUGCAAAAUUAAAUUUGCAAAAUUUUCAACUUUAAAUGCAAAUAUGUCGAAAACUAUAAAUUUGCGGCGGCAAUAAUUAUAUAUAUUCUUAAUCUGGAGCAUCAGCACUAUCCAACCAUACCACUUUUAACCCUGAAAUCGUGGGAUGGUAUACUAAAGCCGACCCGAAAUCGUUCUUUAUUUUUGUUUUUAACUAAUUAUUAUCAUUAAUUGUGUUUCACGAGACAUCCGAAAAUGUGAUAAAUAUACAUAUAUCUGGAGGAUAACAUCGAAUUGUUUUAAAGAAGUUUUACGAUUUUACUAUUGCCCUCUUCUUUAAAAUUCCAGUCAUAAGCCACUUUUUUACGCAAAAAACUUUGUUUCCUUGCUUUUUUGUAUUUAAGAGCAAACUACACUCACUAUCCACCAAGUUAUCCACUGUUAAAUUGAUUAAAAAUUCAUGUUUAAGACUUCUUAAACUUCACUUCUUCAAUGCACCUGCACGCCGCGCAAAAUGUUUGUUUAAGUAUCAGCUGAGUAUCUGCAAAAAAACAUCAGGGUUGCAAUAUUGCCGCAGUUAUUUUCUUGCUCGAACAUCCCCCGGGUAACAAGUGAUUCCCAAAAUAAAACUAAUGCAAGGUGUACAAUCUGCGCAGUGAAUUUUACAAUCGGUUCAGGUGGCAUUGGCCAGAUUAAGCAACAUCAAGAAACUCAAAAACACAAGUUUAAAGCUGAAGCCAAAAAAACAUCUGGUGCAUUAAAGAAUUUCCUUACAUCAAGUACUGAGUCGAAUUCUUCAGUAUCAAGUGAAGCAUGGACUGCACUAAUAAACUAUGCAGAGUUGUCUAUGCAGAUUCCAAAAUAGCCAAUAAAAUACGCCUGGGCAGAAAAAAAUGGAAGCUAUAGUGACGGAUGUAUUAGGUCCCUAUUCCGUGGAAAGUGUAAUAAAUGAUUUGAAAGACAAAAAUAUAUUUUUCUGUAUUUAGACAGAUGCAUCAAACAAAAAGAACAUUAAACUCUUUCCUUUGGUGAUACAAUAUUUUUCCAUAACUAAAGGAAUCGAACAAAAACUGUUAGAUUUUUACGAAAAUUCUAACGAAUCCGCCGAUGGUAUGUUUGAAGCUAUUAAGAAGUCUAUGAACUCUUUAAAACUGUCACUCAACCAAGUAUCGGGACUAAGUGCUGACAAUUGUAAUGCAAAUUUUGGUAUUCACCACUCAUUGUACACAAAUAUUAAAAAAGAAGCCCCAAAUGUAAUAAAAGGAAACUGUAAUGCACAUAUCGUCCAUAAUACAGUGAAACAUGC